rnacentral:misc_RNA from 1 species
UUCUUUCUUUCUUUCUUUUUUUUUAGGGGUGGGUGUGGAAGUGGAGGGUGGGUGUAUGGCAUUUAAUGUUUGUCUUGAUAUAGAAAGAAAAUUGGAGGUGCGUCAAUAGCAUUUGUUAGGUGCCUUUCUGGAACGGGAACACAAUGGGGCUACAACCCCCACCAUCAUUAUAUGAGUGAGAGGGUGAUGCUUUCUCAAGCAUCAAAAAAAAAUAAUUGAAGAGGGUGAUUGAGAUGAUGAUAGAUGCCUGGCUGUUUUGCUUGAGUGUGUGUG